rnacentral:misc_RNA from 1 species
GAAAUGCGAUAAGUAAUGUGAAUUGCAGAAUUCCGUGAAUCAUCGAAUCUUUGAACGCACAUUGCGCCCUCUGGUAUUCCGGGGGGCAUGCCUGUCCGAGCGUCAUUGCACACCCUCAAGCGCGGCUUGUGUGUUGGGCCCCCGCGUCCUUGCCUCCUGAAAGGACGGGCCCGAAAGGCAGUGGCGGCGUCGCGGUUAUCCGAUCAGCCAGAGCGUAUGGGGACUUUCUCUCUGUCACACGCCCGCGGCGCGGACCGACGCCUGUCGACCUUUAUUCAUCUUUUUCUCGGUUGACCUCGGAUCAGGUAGGGAUACCCGCUGAACUUAAGC